rnacentral:rRNA from 1 species
AGCUUGCUGCUUCGCUGACGAGUGGCGGACGGGUGAGUAAUGUCUGGGAAACUGCCUGAUGGAGGGGGAUAACUACUGGAAACGGUAGCUAAUACCGCAUAACGUCGCAAGACCAAAGAGGGGGACCUUCGGGCCUCUUGCCAUCGGAUGUGCCCAGAUGGGAUUAGCUAGUAGGUGGGGUAACGGCUCACCUAGGCGACGAUCCCUAGCUGGUCUGAGAGGAUGACCAGCCACACUGGAACUGAGACACGGUCCAGACUCCUACGGGAGGCAGCAGUGGGGAAUAUUGCACAAUGGGCGCAAGCCUGAUGCAGCCAUGCCGCGUGUAUGAAGAAGGCCUUCGGGUUGUAAAGUACUUUCAGCGGGGAGGAAGGCGAUAAGGUUAAUAACCUUGUCGAUUGACGUUACCCGCAGAAGAAGCACCGGCUAACUCCGUGCCAGCAGCCGCGGUAAUACGGAGGGUGCAAGCGUUAAUCGGAAUUACUGGGCGUAAAGCGCACGCAGGCGGUCUGUCAAGUCGG